UCUACAUAGGCAAGAAUUUGAAAGAAUUCCUGAAUUUUUCUAAUACCUGGAGUAUUUAUAAAAAAUUAGCAGCUGAAUUCAAUUAUUUUAUUUCCCUGACUGUACACUGCAUAAGUCAGUUUCUCUCUGUGACAGAUGUUGGUUGCUGGAUGCCUUUGUCUCAACACAGAAUACAGAAGAUAUGAAAACUUCAUGCUCCAAGACACUGUCAUUUGCAGCUGUCAAGACCUCAUUUUCAAGAAGCCUUUCACACAGUGCAAAAGAAUUCUCUCUUUCCUCUACAGUGAAUUGGCAGACAGAUAAAGCUCAAUGCAUCCAACCAGGUUGUUUGUAGCCUUCACGUCAAACUGAAGCAGGAGAACUUUACCCAGAAGUAAUACAGGCAUGUACAGAUCUAUUUUUAUUUUUACUGAUGAUGGCUAGACUUAGUAUAGCCUUUAGCAUGAAAAUUGUAAGAGAAUACUUGCUGUAGGAAACAGCAUUUUCCUUUGACUUAGGAAAAGAAAUGAAAAAGAAAUUAGGGUAACCACUUUUGCCAAAAUCUCUAUUUCAAUACAUGUAAUGAAAAGGCUAUUCUCCAACAGAUUUGUCAUUAGCAAGGAUUUUACACUCUACUUAAAACAUAAAGCAACAUUCAGGAAUGAAGAAAAGGGAUAAUAAAAAUAAGGGCUAUUCUCUAUCAGAUGUUUGUCCAAUUUUUAAAGCUCAGGCCCCAAGCUUCAUUUUUUUCAAUUAAAUGCAGUGGAUUAGUGGCAAAAACUACCUCCUUUUUGUAAUCUCAUGUAUGCUUCCAAGUUCAGAUAUUCUUCUGUAUUUCUGUUGUUGUGCAGUAAACCACAUUGCCAUUUAUAAAGGAAUUACAAAGCAAUGACUUACCAUCCCCCCCAUCACUGUUUCAAAUUUUCUGGUAGUUAUCUAAUUUCCUUCUCCUCGAGCAGUCUUUCUUCAAGAAAAUCCUUCAAGGUUCAGCAUUCAGCAUACAAGUAAAAGAGCAGAGGCUUUAAGGUUUAAGAAAAAAUGAGGGAGAAAAAGAAUCAUCAUUUAACAUUACAAUGGUCUCAUUUGUAAAAAUGUGCAAUGAUUUUCAGUGGAUGUUCAUCUUUCUGAGUACAAGUUUUCGCAAAUACUUUUUCCCUGCAAUCUGGAUGACCCACUGAAGUCUAGAAUAAACCUGAGCAGAGUACAUCUGUCCUCAUUUUCCUACAUGUUUCUGCUAGGGGAUAUAAAAAUGAUAUAUGCCUAAUAGUGUUUUAAAUACAUUUAUUGAAAAUGAAUCUGAUUCCCUUGCAGCAUUUCACAGAGUCACAUUAUCUCAACUCCUGGAAAAACGCAGUAAGAGCUAGGCCCGGGGCUGAAUGGCUAUAAAUGCUGAGUUCUUGUAGUAAAGCUUUCCUACAAACCUUCCAUUCAUUCCUACUCCUAUUACAGAGCACCUGCUUUGAAUCAUCACCUCAAAGAGUGUAAUCUUUUCCUUAUUUUUGCUUCUCCCAUUUUGCCUCAGCAGAAUAAAUUCAAAACUGAGGUCUGGAAAUCAUGGGGAAGAAUGAAUAUAUUUCUUUCUUUUUUCCCAAUAAACUGAGACACAGGGACUUCUUCCCCUGCUUGGAAUCAGAUAGGGAUUGCCUUUGAAGUCCCACACUCUUCAAAAUUUGUCUCUGAUAUAUGGUUGUUUAUACUCAGCCAGGGGUCCUUGGAAAGGUAAUCACUAUGCUUUGCAAUGUUUUUGUGGAGAAAGAUAUAAAUUUAAACUUCCUUUCACAAAUGAAUCAUUUGGAAUUUUUCGUUUAUUUACAGACCUAAAAUGGUCUGCUGGACAAAAAAGGAGAGCUGUGCCCAUCACCUUUGUAUAUCUACUUAAUUCUCCCUUACUCUGACAUUUGUAUAUUUUCCUUUUCAGCAUCAUUCCUGUUUAAAUCCAUCUGUCUGUCUGGUCCCCAUCAUCCCUUUAUGUAAUUUGCUAGCACAAAUAGUCAUAUUAAUAAAAAAAGGAAAAAAAUCCAAGAGGAAACAAUCCUAUUGUUGUUUUAGUCUAAAAUUCUGUAUUCUUCAAGAAACUUACUGCAUAUUUUCCAGAAUAUUUUUCUGAGAAAUAUUUUUCUGAAAGAUAUUUUUCCUUUAUUGGAAAUAUUUUGUUUUUCUUUAUUCACUCAAAAUAUUCAAAACUACGAUUCCUCAAGUCAGGCCAAAGGCCCAGUUUGUACCAACAAAUGUAAGUAAAUUCAGAACUAUAAAACCACAGAUGUCAAAAGCAAGGUUAGCCUAAGAUAAAACAUACAUGAGCAAAGAGCACAGGUGGUGGGAAGAUCAGAGUAACAAAACAGCCUUCCCUGAAAAUAUUUAGCUGCACCUUGUUGUCAGUUUAGCUAACCAGUGGGAACUGCAUACAUACAGCAGUAGGGAAAAUACUGCAAGGACACUGAAAGCACUUCAAGAGGCAGUGAAAAAGAGCAUAAAAAUCAAUAGAAGAGUGUUGCAGAUGAAGCUAACAAAGAUCAAUCAAGCUCAAUAGACAUUGUUCAAAUUUAUAUGAUUGCAUCAUUGCAUUGGUUUGCUGAAAUCCAUGGGAAAGCAUUGAUAACUCCGAAUUUCCAAUGGAAACCAAGCAGCAAAAACCCUCCUCAAUCUCUCUGAAAUUUCUCAGUAAGUCCCAUUACUUCUGACAUAAAUUUUUCAGGUCACAUACAGAAAUCCAAGCUCUAUUUCACUCAGUGUAUGUAGUGACAUCCAUAUAUGAUGUAUGACUAAUAUCAUCGCUUCAUGCAGUCAUAUGAAAAAACCUUUUCCUUAAAAAAAUGGGCUACUAUGUUGCAUGCUGUAAAGAGAAAAUUAUUCCAAGAGUCAGAGCAAAAGUACUCAAAUCAUGCCAAGCCUAAAUUAUGGAAGUUACAGAAUCAUUACUCUGCUCAAAAGCAUCCAAGCCUCUCAGCCAAGUCCUUUGUCAGUGAUUUUAUGUCACCUUUAUUACCACUGUGAAGCAACAGGACCUUGGAGUAUAACAUCAUUACCCAGCUGAGGAACAGCUGAAGAAUGUAGCCUUUCCUUACGAGAGCAAGCCUGACUUAUACAUAAUAUUAAUAUUCAAACCACAACCAUGAGAAGCCAUUGAAGAAAAUAUUUUACUCCUCAAAGGUCAACAAGGCCAAAGAACUUCAGGGGACAAAUAAUUUCACAGGAGAAUCAAUUGUGGAGGUAGACACAUGAGAAUGAAACCAUUUACAUAGCCUUUUGUUUAACCUUUCCAAGUACUUUGGAAAUCGCUUCAAUUCUUCCUGUCUGUGACAGAUUUUAUGUGCAGAUAUGAGCAAAGACUUGCCAAAUUGUUCAGUAAUUCCAGACACUGAAGUCUCUAGAUGUUUAAAAUUAUUAGUAAUUGUUAAUACAGAUUUCAGUUAUUUUACUCAAUUCUUCAGCCUGAAUUUUAUUGACUUUACUGUCUCAUUCAGACGAAUUAAAUA